UACGGGGGGGGCAAGCGUUGUUCGGAAUUACUGGGCGUAAAGGGCUCGUAGGUGGCCAAUUAAGUCAGACGUGAAAUCCCCAGGCUCAACUUGGGAACUGCGUCUGAUACUGGUUGGCUUGAAUUCGGGAGAGGGAUGCAGAAUUCCAGGUGUAGCGGUGAAAUGCGUAGAUAUCUGGAGGAAUACCGGUGGCGAAGGCGGCAUCCUGGACCGGCAUUGACGCUGAGGAGCGAAAGCCAGGGGAGCAAACGGG
rnacentral:rRNA from 1 species